CAUCAUCCUUUUGUUUUGAAAAAGGCGAGAAGAAAGCAACAUUCACCUGCUGUUGUCUCACGGAUGCCUCAUGCCUAUUCAUUUCAUUUAGUUGUUUUUCAUAUUCCAAAGUAAACACAUUCUUCCUCACAGUGUUUGGUGUUUGCCAUGUGCUGGAAAAUAGAUUACUGCUGUCUGGUACUUUCUCUUCUGUGGAAAGGAAUUCAAACCAGCAAAGUCUUCCACCUGAAGUAUCCUGUGCACUAUGUAAUGAUUGCCAGCCUCUGAAUCUCUCCUUUUGGCUGACUCCAAAGUUUUCACGAUGCCGGAUUACGGAACCAUAAGAAGCAUGUCUUACAGAUUCACUUACAGCCUGAGAGAAGAAAGUUCCAGAAACUACCACUGGGAUUUAUGGCAAGC
rnacentral:lncRNA from 1 species